UGGUCUGUCGGCUGAAGAGGUCGAGGGUCAAGUCAGACCGUGGUCUGUCGGCUGAAGAGGUCGAGGGUCAAGUCAGACCGUGGUCUGUCGGCUGAAGAGGUCGAGGGUCAAGUCAGACCGUGGUCUGUCGGCUGAAGAGGUCGAGGGUCAAGUCAGACCGUGGUCUGUCGGCUGAAGAGGGCAAGGGUCAAGUCAGGCCGUGGUCUGUCGGCUGAAGAGGUCGAGGGUCAAAUCAGGCCGUGGUCUGUCGGCUGAAGAGGUCGAGGGUCAAGUCAGGCCGUGGUCUGUCGGCUGAAGAGGUCGAGGGUCAAGUCAGGCCGUGGUCUGUCGGCUGAAGAGGUCGAGGGUCAAGUCAGACUGGUCUGUCGGCUGAAGAGGUCGAGGGUCAAGUCAGACCGGUCUGUCGGCUGAAGAGGUCGAGGGUCAAGUCAGGCCGUGGUCUGUCGGCUGAAGAGGUCGAGGGUCAAGUCAGACUGGUCUGUCGGCUGAAGAGGUCGAGGGUCAAGUCAGACCGGUCUGUCGGCUGAAGAGGUCGAGGGUCAAGUCAGACCGUGGUCUGUCGGCUGAAGAGGUCGAGGGUCAAGUCAGACCGUGGUCUGUCGGCUGAAGAGGUCGAGGGUCAAGUCAGACCGUGGUCUGUCGGCUGAAGAGGUCGAGGGUCAAGUCAGACCGUGGUCUGUUGGCUGAAGAGGUCGAGGGUCAAGUCAGACCGUGGUCUGUCGGCUGAAGAGGUCGAGGGUCAAGUCAGGCCGUGGUCUGUCGGCUGAAGAGGUCGAGGGUCAAGUCAGACCGUGGUCUGUCGGCUGAAGAGGUCGAGGGUCAAGUCAGACCGUGGUCUGUCGGCUGAAGAGGUCGAGGGUCAAGUCAGACCGUGGUCUGUCGGCUGAAGAGGUCGAGGGUCAAGUCAGACCGUGGUCUGUCGGCUGAAGAGGUCGAGGGUCAAGUCAGACCGUGGUCUGUCGGCUGAAGAGGUCGAGGGUCAAGUCAGACCGUGGUCUGUCGGCUGAAGAGGUCGAGGGUCACAGCAGAGAGGAAGGCUGGGAUGCUCUUCUGGUGGUGCAGGUGGAGGUCCACCAUCUCUCUCAGGGUCCGACUGAAGUCUGUCUCCAUCAGCUGCAUACUGCCUCCACUGCCCACAGCACCUCCACUGGCCUGGAGGAGAGAGAAAGAAGAGACAGGAAGAAGGGGUCAGUUAGGAGAGAGAGAGAAGAGACAGGGAGAAGGGGUCAGUUAGGAGAGAGAAAGAAGAGACAGGGAGAAGGGGUCAGUUAGGAGAGAGAAAGAAGAGACAGGGAGAAGGGGUCAGUUAGGAGAGAGAAAGAAGAGACAGGGAGAAGGGGUCAGUUAGGAGAGAUAAAGAAGAGACAGGGAGAAGGGGUCAGUUAGGAGAGAGAGAAGAGACAGGGAGA